rnacentral:rRNA from 1 species
AGCGAACGCUGGCGGCAGGCUUAACACAUGCAAGUCGAGCGGGCACCUUUCGGGGUGUCAGCGGCGGACGGGUGAGUAACGCGUGGGAACGUGCCCUCUGGUUCGGAAUAACUCAGGGAAACUUGAGCUAAUACCGGAUACGCCCUUUUGGGGAAAGGCUUGCUGCCGGAGGAUCGGCCCGCGUCUGAUUAGCUAGUUGGUGAGGUAACGGCUCACCAAGGCGACGAUCAGUAGCUGGUCUGAGAGGAUGAUCAGCCACACUGGGACUGAGACACGGCCCAGACUCCUACGGGAGGCAGCAGUGGGGAAUAUUGGACAAUGGGCGCAAGCCUGAUCCAGCCAUGCCGCGUGAGUGAUGAAGGCCUUAGGGUUGUAAAGCUCUUUUAUCCGGGACGAUAAUGACGGUACCGGAGGAAUAAGCCCCGGCUAACUUCGUG